ACGGAAGGCAGCAGUGAGGAAUAUUGGUCAAUGGGCGAGAGCCUGAACCAGCCAAGUCGCGUGAAGGAUGAAGGUUCUAUGGAUUGUAAACUUCUUUUGUUCGAGGGUAAAGUGAGGGAUGCGUCCCUUAUUGCAAGUAUCGAACGAAUAAGCAUCGGCUAACUCCGUGCCAGCAGCCGCGGUAAUACGGAGGAUGCGAGCGUUAUCCGGAUUUAUUGGGUUUAAAGGGUGCGUAGGCGGGAUGUUAAGUCAGCGGGGAAAGCGUGUAGCUCAACUAUACCAAGCCGUUGAAACUGGCGUUCUUGAGUGUAAACGAGGUAGGCGGAAUGUGACGUGUAGCGGUGAAAUGCUUAGAUAUGUCACAGAACCCCGAUUGCGAAGGCAGCUUACCAGCAUACAACUGACGCUGAGGCACGAAAGUGCGGGGAUCAAACAGGAUUAGAUACCCUGGUA
rnacentral:rRNA from 1 species